rnacentral:tRNA from 1 species
AGCUAAUGAGCUUGGGACAAGCAUGUGUUUUGAAAACACAAGACAGAGAUUAAACUCUCUAUUAGCUU